GGGCGGAAGUGGUGAAACAACAUGCUAAAAGAAAUUCCUUUUAGCAACUCAAUAUUAGGCUUUGGAGUUUUUCUUAGCCAGAGUUGUUUUCCCUCUUCUCAA
rfam:Nicotiana attenuata strain TT chromosome 3, whole genome shotgun sequence.